rnacentral:rRNA from 1 species
CGGUAAUUCCAGCUCCAAUAGCGUAUACUAAAGUUGUUGCAGUUAAAAAGCUCGUAGUUGGAUUUCUGCGGGGACGGAGCGGCCGGACGCAACUUGCGUCUCGAGCUAGCGCUUUCCCCGCAUCCUGCCGCGAACCGUGCUACCAUUAGCUUGGUGGCGCUGGGGAUCGGCUCGAUUACUUUGAGAAAAAUAGAGUGUUCAAAGCAGGCCACACGCCUUGAAUAAGUUAGCAUGGAAUAAUGACUAAGGACUUCGGUUCUAUUUUGUUGGUGUUCGGGACUGAAGUAAUGAUUGAUAGGGACAGUUGGGGCGGUCUGUAUUCCAAAGCGAGAGGUGAAAUUCUUAGACCUUCGGAAGACAAACAGCUGCGAAAGCGUUCCGCAAGGAUGUUCCCUUUGAUCAAGAACGAAAGUUGGGGGAUCGAAGACGAUCAGAUACCGUCGUAGUCUCAACUAUAAACUAUACCAGCUAGGGAUCGGUCAACGUUUAAUCAUUCGACUUGAUCGGCACCUUAUGAGAAAUCAAAGCAUCUGGGCUCCGGGGGGAGUAUGGUCGCAAGGCUGAAACUUAAAGGAAUUGACGGAAGGGCACCACCAGCCGUGGAGCCUGUGGCUUAAUUUGACUCAACACGGGAAAACUUACCAGGUCCAGACAUAGUAAGGAUUGACAGAUUGAUAGCUCUUUCUUGAUUCUGUGGGUGGUGGUGCAUGGCCGUUCUUAGUUGGUGGAGUGAUUUGUCUGGUUAAUUCCGUUAACGAACGAGACCCCAGCCUGCUAAAUAGCGCGGCUGAGCUUUGCUCGGUGCGAGCUUCUUAGAGGGACUAUGAUGCGCGAUAGCACAUGGAAGUUUGGGGCAAUAACAGGUCUGUGAUGCCCUUAGAUGUUCUGGGCCGCACACGGGCUACACUGGCGCCUGCAACGAGCAUAUCAGCUGGCCCGAGAGGGUCUUGGCUAAUCUUUUGAACCGGCGCCGUGCUUGGGAUUGACCAUUGCAAUUGUUGGUCAUGCAACGAGGAAUGCCUUGUAAACGCGAGUCAUCAGCUCGCAUUGAAUACGUCCCUGCCCUUUGUACACACCGCCCGUCGCUCCUACCGAUGAAUGUUCCGAUGAAAUUUUCGGAGAGCGCCAGAGAACGGGGCUCUGCCUUGCAGAUCUGGAGGCUCAAAGUCACUUAAAUCUGAACAUUUCGAGGAAGGAGAAGUCGUAACAAGGUAACC